rnacentral:rRNA from 1 species
UACAGAGGUCUCAAGCGUUGUUCGGAUUCAUUGGGCGUAAAGGGCGCGUAGGCGGCUCACUAAGUCGGAUGUGAAAACUCUGGGCUCAACCCAGAGCCUGCAUCCGAAACUGGUGGGCUAGGGUGCUGGAGGGGAAAGCGGAAUUCCUGGUGUAGCGGUGAAAUGCGUAGAUAUCAGGAGGAACACCGGUGGCGAAGGCGGCUUUCUGGACAGUAACCGACGCUGAGGCGCGAAAGCUAGGGGAGCAAACAGG